UCCCUCCCCCGGCCUGACCGCAGCCCGACGCCAUGGCGCGGGUCCCCCCGACGGGCCAGUUUCGAUUCCGGGCACCGCAUCAGCCUGCUCAACCCUUUAAAUUUACAAUUUCCGAAUCCUGUGAUCGGAUUAAGGAAGAGUUUCAGUUUUUACAGGCUCAAUACCACAGUCUGAAGCUGGAAUGUGAGAAACUCGCCAGUGAGAAGACAGAGAUGCAGCGGCAUUAUGUCAUGUAUUAUGAAAUGUCCUAUGGGUUGAAUAUAGAAAUGCACAAGCAGGCAGAGAUUGUCAAGAGGCUGAAUGCUAUCUGUGCACAAGUCAUUCCUUUCCUGUCCCAAGAGCACCAGCAACAAGUGGUGCAGGCUGUGGAACGGGCCAAGCAGGUGACCAUGGCAGAACUGAACGCCAUCAUUGGGGUACGUGGCCUUUCCAUUUUAGCUCUGAUCUUAGUGUUUGUCAUCAGCUCUCUCGCUCUCUCUUUUUACAUUUUGUUCCGCCAAAGGGGCAAAAAGCAAUAGAUGACUACAAAAUGAAAUUAAGCACUUUGCCUUCAAUCUCCUGUGAAAUUUGAUGGCUGCCUCAGAAACUUUGGAUCACAUUCUCACCAAUUUAAGUGGAUGUGUUCAUGAAAACUCUCCUCUAAGGAGACUGGAUAGCUCUUUUUCAUAUUUCUUUUCUUUGCAAUCAGCUUGUGUUGCUAACCUAGGCCAAAAAAAAA
rnacentral:sRNA from 1 species